rnacentral:rRNA from 1 species
CUGGGGUACACGAGUGGCGAACGGGUGAGUAACACGUGGGUGACCUGCCCUGCACUUCGGGAUAAGCCUGGGAAACUGGGUCUAAUACCGGAUAGGACCAUGGUGUGGAUACUGUGGUGGAAAGUUUUUUCGGUGUGGGAUGGGCCCGCGGCCUAUCAGCUUGUUGGUGGGGUAAUGGCCUACCAAGGCGUCGACGGGUAGCCGGCCUGAGAGGGUGUACGGCCACAUUGGGACUGAGAUACGGCCCAG